ACCGUGGUCUAGCGGUUAGAACGCUGGCCUUGUAAUCCUGGGAUUCCGGGUUCGAUUUCCGGCGGU
rnacentral:tRNA from 1 species